rnacentral:misc_RNA from 1 species
GUGAAUCAUCGAAUCUUUGAACGCACAUUGCGCCCGCCAGUAUUCUGGCGGGCAUGCCUGUUCGAGCGUCAUUUCAACCCUCAAGCCCCCGUGGCCUGGUGUUGGGGACCGGCGAUGGCGCUUGCUCCGGCGAGCGCGCGCCGCCCCCGAAAUGAAUUGGCGGUCUCGUCGCGGCCUCCCCUGCGUAGUAGCACAACCUCGCAGCAGGAGCGCGGCGCGGCCACUGCCGUAAAACCCCCCAACUUCUUCAAGAGUUGACCUCGAAUCAGGUAGGAAUACCCGCUGAACUUAAGCAUAUCAAUAAGCGGAGGA